rnacentral:rRNA from 1 species
AGAGUUUGAUCAUGGCUCAGGAUGAACGCUAGCUACAGGCUUAACGCAUGCAAGUCGAGGGGAAACGACAUCGAAAGCUUGCUUUUGAUGGGCGUCGACCGGCGCACGGGUGAGUAACGCGUAUCCAACCUGCCCACCACUUGGGGAUAACCUUGCGAAAGUAAGACUAAUACCCAAUGACGUCUCUAGAAGACAUCUGAAAGAGAUUAAAGAUUUAUCGGUGAUGGAUGGGGAUGCGUCUGAUUAGCUUGGUUGGCGGGGUAACGGCCACCAAGGCGACGAUCAGUAGGGGUUCUGAGAGGAAGGUCCCCCANAUUGGAACUGAGACACGGUCCAAACUCCUACGGGAGCA